GUCCUACGGGGGGCAGCAGUGGGGAAUAUUGGGCAAUGGGCGCAAGCCUGACCCAGCAACGCCGCGUGAAGGAAGAAGGCUUUCGGGUUGUAAACUUCUUUUAUGAGGGACGAAACAAAUGACGGUACCUCAUGAAUAAGCCACGGCUAACUACGUGCCAGCAGCCGCGGUAAUACGUAGGUGGCAAGCGUUAUCCGGAAUUACUGGGUGUAAAGGGAGCGCAGGCGGGAAGCCAAGUCAGCUGUGAAAACUACGGGCUUAACUUGUAGACUGCAGGUGAAACUGGGUUUCUUGAGUGAAGUAGG
rnacentral:rRNA from 1 species